rnacentral:misc_RNA from 1 species
GGAAACUCAAUAACGUGAUUGACAACACAUGUGAACCAUGUAAUUCAACCUAACCACAAACUGUAUUAUAAGCUACUAGGCACAAAAGACAAUAAAUGCACAAUGAAAUGGGAACAACAGAAUAUGGGAAAAAGACCUAGUAUGUUAGCUUUCGAACUACUGAUUGCAAAUGCCAACGUUUAACAAGUUCUCCAUAUGGCCUUGCCAUUGUUUC